AUUGAACGCUGGCGGCAGGCUUAACACAUGCAAGUCGAGCGAGCGGCGGACGGGUGAGUAAUGUCUGGGAAACUGCCUGAUGGAGGGGGAUAACUACUGGAAACGGUAGCUAAUACCGCAUACCAUCAGAUGUGCCCAGAUGGGAUUAGCUAGUAGGUGGGGUAAUGGCUCACCUAGGCGACGAUCCCUAGCUGGUAUGAGAGGAUGACCAGCCACACUGGAACUGAGACACGGUCCAGACUCCUACGGGAGGCAGCAGUGGGAAAUAUUGCAACAUGGGCGCAAGCCUGGUGCAGCCAUGCCGCGUGUAUGAGGAAGGCCGUCGGGUUGUGGCGCACGUUCAUCGAGGAGGCGUUACUCGCAGCAGAAGCACCGGCUAACUCCGUGCCAGCAGCCGCGGUAAUAC
rnacentral:rRNA from 1 species